CCGGCACGGGUGAGUAACACGUAUCCAACCUGCCGUCUACCCUUGGCCAGCCUUCUGAAAGGAAGAUUAAUCCAGGAUGGCAUCAUGAGUUCACAUGUCCGCAUGAUUAAAGGUAUUUUCCGGUAGACGAUGGGGAUGCGUUCCAUUAGGCAGUUGGUGAGGUAACGGCUCACCAAACCUUCGAUGGAUAGGGGUUCUGAGAGGAAGGUCCCCCACAUUGGAACUGAGACACGGUCCAA
rnacentral:rRNA from 1 species